rnacentral:rRNA from 1 species
AUGACAAUACCCGACACCCACAGCAUGUUGAGCUUUUCCUGUAUAGUGUCUGCAGUUGUUGUCAUCCUAGGCAGAACUUGCAGUUGCUUGCACUUCACUUACCCCACUUUCAACCCAGGCAACAGUGAUCCUUUCAGCUUCAGCCCAGGCUCAGCAAUCUCAGACAAUUCCCUGCAAAUCACGCCAAACACCGGGAACAUGAGCCAUCAGUCAGGAAGAGUGGCCUACGCAAGGGAAACCCUCAAGCUGUGGAACAGCAAGCGUACAAUGCUCACGUCGUUCAGGACAGAGUUCGUGCUCAACAUCCUCCCACAGAACGGGACUGCCGGAGAAGGUAUGGCCUUCAUGCUCACAGACAAUCCAUCCUUGCCCAGCAACAGCAGUGGCCAGUGGCUGGGCGUAUGCAACAACCAGACAGAUGGCGCGAAGACAAACUGA